GAUUCUGGCUCAGGAUGAACGCUGGCGGCGUGCUUAACACAUGCAAGUCGAACGGAGUUUUAACGGAAGUUUCGGAUGGAAGUUAAAACUUAGUGGCGGACGGGUGAGUAACGCGUGGGUAACCUGCCUCAUACAGGGGGAUAACAGUUAGAAAUGACUGCUAACACCGCAUAAUAUAGCGAAACCGCAUGAUUUUGCUAUCAAAUAUUUAUAGGUAUGAGAUGGGCCCGCGUCUGAUUAGCUAGUUGGUGGGGUAAAAGCCUACCAAGGCGACGAUCAGUAGCCGGCUUGAGAGAGUGACCGGCCACAUUGGGACUGAGACACGGCCCAAACUCCUACGGGAGGCAGCAGUGGGGAAUAUUGGACAAUGGGGGAAACCCUGAUCCAGCGAACCGCCGCGUGAGUGAAGAAGUAUUUCGGUAUGUAAAGCUCUAUCAGCAGGGAAGAUAAUGACAGUACCUGACUAAGAAGCCCCGGCUAACUACGUGCCAGCCGCUGC
rnacentral:rRNA from 1 species